AUACGUAGGUGGCGAGCGUUGUCCGGAAUUAUUGGGCGUAAAGCGCGCGCAGGCGGGAAAGUAAGUCUACUCUAAAAGUGCGGGGCUCAACCCCGUGAUGGGGUGGAAACUGCUUUUCUUGAGUGCCGGAGAGGAAAGCGGAAUUCCCAGUGUAGCGGUGAAAUGCGUAGAUAUUGGGAGGAACACCAGUGGCGAAGGCGGCUUACUGGUCCAUUACUGACGCUGAGGUGCGAAAGCGUGGGGAGC
rnacentral:rRNA from 1 species